GGAGGAAGGCGGGGAUGACGUCAAGUCAGUAUGGCCCUUAUGUCCUGGGCCACACACACGCUACAAUGGGUGGUACAAUGGGUUGCAAUGGAGUGAUCCGGAGCUAAUCCUGAAAAACCAUCCUCAGUUCGGAUUGCAGGCUGAAAUUCGCCUGCAUGAAGUCGGAGUUGCUAGUAACCGCGCAUCAGCUUGGCGCGGUGAAUACGUUCUCGGGCCUUGUACACACCGCCCGUCACGUCAUGAAAGUCGGCAACACCUGAAGCCGAUGAGCUAACCCGCAAGGGAGGCAGUUGUCUAGGGUGGGGUCGGUAAUUGGGACGAAGUCGUAACAAGGUAGCCGUAGCGGAAGCUGCGGCUGGAUCACCUCCUUUCUAGGGAGA
rnacentral:rRNA from 1 species